UGAUUAAUUUGUCUCAAGCUCUGUCUGAAUUUAAAUGCACAAAAGUUCAGUAUGCUGAGAGUGGAUUUCGGCCUGCUGCUUUUACAAUGUAUUUUUACUGUUUUUAGGCAGCAUUGUAGCACGAAAGCUCCCUCUGCUCUUUCACUUUGUGCCAACAGCAGCAGCCAUCUCAUGUCCCUGAUCUGCAGGUCAAGUAGCAGCAGCAGCUAGCCCAGGAACAACAGUUAUCUCUACAGCAACUUUUCGUUCACAAGAGGAGCUGUGCUCUCUCUGCUCUGCUAGCUGGAGUUUACAGCAUUAACCACAGCCCAACUCUGCUUUGUUCUUCGAUUUCUUGUGACAAACACAUUUUAUUUCCUUGCAGUAGCACUAGCAAUAUCUGUUAUGUGGAUCAUCAGCAGGUUGGCACAGCAGGUUGACAACAGCAGAGCUCUCAGGAGCAAGAUGAAAUUUGAGUUGAGCGCACGAUUGAUGGGAUGAUCAAAAUCAAGGAAACCUUUGCUGCAGUGCUACAUAGCUUAUUACAUUUUGAUGUCUUCAAACUAUCUAGUGAUCUAUGUUGGAUACCUUAUGUGUUGUGUGUGUAUUAUCGAUUGAGUUUGACAUUGGAUGAUUUUAUUAAUGUUUUGUACAACAAGGCACAUUUUGGUUUAAUAGAUGUCUAAAUGCGUCAUGCAUCAUAUGUAUA